UACGUAGGGUGCAAGCGUUAAUCGGAAUUACUGGGCGUAAAGCGUGCGCAGGCGGUUGUGCAAGACCGAUGUGAAAUCCCCCGGGCUUAACUUGGGAAUGGCAUUGGUGACUGCACGGCUAGAGUGUGUCAGAGGGGGGUAGAAUUCCACGUGUAGCAGUGAAAUGCGUAGAGAUGUGGAGGAAUACCGAUGGCGAAGGCAGCCCCCUGGGCCUGCACUGACGCUCAUGCACGAAAGCGUGGGGAGCAAACAGG
rnacentral:rRNA from 1 species